GGACGAACGCUGGCGGCGUGCUUAACACAUGCAAGUCGAACGGUGAAGCGCCUUCCUUUUUGGUGGGUGUGGAUGAGUGGCGAACGGGUGAGUAACGCGUGAGUAACCUGCCCCCUUCUUCUGGAUAACCGCAUGAAAGUGUGGCUAAUACGGGAUAUUCUGGGUCUGUCGCAUGAUGGGUCUGGGAAAGAUAUUGUUUCGGUGGGGGAUGGGCUCGCGGCCUAUCAGCUUGUUGGUGGGGUGAUGGCCUACCAAGGCGGUGACGGGUAGCCGGCCUGAGAGGGUGGACGGUCACACUGGGACUGAGACACGGCCCAGACUCCUACGGGAGGCAGCAGUGGGGAAUAUUGCACAAUGGGCGCAAGCCUGAUGCAGCGACGCCGCGUGAGGGAUGGAGGCCUUCGGGUUGUGAACCUCUUUCGCCAGUGAAGCAGGCCUGCCUCGUUUGUGGGUGGGUUGACGGUAGCUGGAUAAGAAGCGCCGGCUAACUACGU
rnacentral:rRNA from 1 species